AUGGGGGGCCCUGGGGGAGGGGCAGGGGCGUCAUCCCAGGAGGAGCGAGGAGGGGGAACAGGCAGCACAGCGGGCAUGACGGACGAGGGGAGGGGAUGUGAAAGGACCCUCUGGGCCCUUCCGGAACAUGCCGGGCAAGCCCCUGGGCUGGGGCCGGCAUCCCACGGUCGGCGGGCAAGCGGCAGCGUCCGCAGGGAGCAGCGCCUCCCCUCCCACGCACCUGGUGGCUUGGCAGCGAGAGCUCCCCGGCCCCGCCUCGCCCAGCAGCCAGGCCAAGGCACCCUCCUCCCUGCUCCCGCCAGCAGAGCGGCCCGGCCGCCCCAUAACUCCACUGUGGCCAGCCUCAGCUUACUCGGGGAAAAGACCGCCAAUCGCUUCCGCGGGACAUUCCUCAACGACUGGAAUUCGUGUAAAACAAAACUAGGGCAAGUGCUGGCCCUUGUCGGACCCAGAAUGGUGGGUGACUGUCGACAACAUCAUGCCGUGAAGGCACGUGGAGCACCCGGCACCGGCGGCCCUGCUGGGCGACAGCGCCCAUGGCAGCCGCCUGAGAUGGCCCACCCCCACCUGAGCGCACCCUCUGCCUGCCACGCCCCACCACCAGGAACGCUGGGAGCCGCAGGGUGGAGCAACCCCCGGGAAGCCACCCAGGUGGAUGAACACCUUGUCUGUGGCCACGCCCCUGCCCUAGAUCCAGAUGGCCAGGUGCGCUCACGGUACAGGAACGGGGAAGGUGCAAGGGCAGGGACAGUCACCCACGGGGGGUGGGGGGGACCAUGCCUGCUCCCGCAGAACCCCGCCCUGGGAUGCCGGCACUUAGCUCCCUGCAAAUGUCACCCAGCAGGAGAGAGAGAUACAGAACCACGGCCGGCGGCCUUACCGUUCCACAGGGCCGGGGACAGCGUCUCACGGACAGUUUUAGGGUUGGUUUUAGGGUUCGGCAAGCGAGGAAAUGCAUUAAGGGCACUUGGAGCCGAUGGCCAUUUCCCGGGCAGACGCCUUGCAGAAACCGCGCGGGGGACGCCGGGCGUUGUGCUGGAACCAUCGGCCACGCUCCCGUCCACGUGCAGAGAUGUGGCUGUGGGUGUGCACACGCCGUCAGGUCUGAGACGGCCUGAGCAGCCGCCAAGGGCUCCCGUGCUGGGAGCUAGUCCUCAGUGGGGGGGUGAUGGGUCCUUUAAGAGGCGGGGCCUGUGGCUGGUGGUCACUGGCCCCGCCCCACGCCCCCAGCUUCCUGUCCUGCUCUAUCUCAGCUCCCCAGGGCAUUUGACACAGCUGCGGGGCCCUGGCCAGGGCCUGAACUUAGAGCCCUCUUGCUAA
rnacentral:lncRNA from 1 species